CCUGGAGGAGGGCAUGGCAACCCACUCCAGUACUCUUGCCUGGAGAAUCCCAUGGACAGAGGAGCCUGGUGGGCUGCAGUCCAUGGGGUCACAGAGAGCUGGACACUCCUGAGCAGCUGAACAGCAACAGCAGCCUUCUCUGAGAUGGAACCUCCUCUCCUGUGAACAUGUUGGCUCAUGAAUCAUAACACACACAUUUGACCCCAGUCGCACUCAGUAUCUGCCCAUCAUGCAUCUCCAUGGAGCCCAUGGAGAAUCGAGCUGGAGAAAAGAAUGUUCUAAAUUAGAAGAAAUAAACUCAGUGCUGUGCUGCAAGAAAGUAAAAAUUCUUACACUCAUCAGAGGUACCCAGAAUAGUGAAGGGCAGACAAGGGCAAUUGAAACACGGUGUGACCAAAAAACCCAGAAGACAAAAGCCCAACCCUGUCAUUAUAGUCUGAGAUAUUAGCAUCUGAUAUGGACUUCCCAGGUGUUUCAGUGGUAAAGAACCUGCCUGCCAGUGCAGGAGACAUAAGAGACUUGGGUUCGAUCCCUGGGUCAGGAAGAUCCCCUGAAAGAGGAAAUGGUACCCCACUUCAGUAUUCUUGUCUGGGAAAUCCCAUGGACAGGGGGAGCCUGGUGGGCUACAGUCCAUGGGGUUCCAAAAGUGUCGGACACAACGUAGUGAUUGAGCAAGAAUGCAAUCUCUAUGUAAAACGGGCACACAGUCCUUUAGAUAUAUAAAGAUUCACAAUACAUAUUCAUCAGAUGAGUAUUUCCUCAAAACAAGACUUAAGUGAUGUUUGGUGCAUUGAAAAGUUAGUUGCGAUUUUAGAUAUGUUUAGAUGAGCAGUGCAUGCUAUUUGGUAUAAAUGUUCAGCAUUAAGUCAACAAUAGUUUUCUUUUUCUUUUUUGCAUUAUCUGGGCAAUUUGGGAUAUUAGAAAUGGUGCAAGACUAUUGCUGAUGAAAUCGGUAUCAGUUCAGUUCAGUUGCUCAGUCGUGCCUGGCAUGCCACAGUCCAUCGGGUCACAAAGAGUCAGACAUGACUGAGCAACUGAACUGAACUGAGUUCGCCAAACAGGGAUCUAAGCCAUGUCCCCUGCACUGGAAGGGUGGCGUCUUAACCACUCGUCCACUGGGGAAGUCCCUAGGAUUCAUUUCUUGACUGCUUUUGCUGCCUCCCCAGUGCCAGACACAGAGCAGCAGAUAUGCACUCACAGGGUGUUUGCAGCGAUCAUGGUCAUAAAGACAGGGAUCGCUAAAGGCAGCAGUGAUGCUGUCCAGCUGCACGGUCUCGGGCUCUUUAGAGGCUUCCCAGGUGGCUCAGCAGGAAAAGAACCCUCCUGCAAUGCGGGAGAUGCAGG
ensembl:lncRNA